GCCAAGCAGCGUGCUUACCGACUCUCGGCGAAUAAUGAACUUGCUCUUUAAAACGUCGUGCCUCGUUUGCCACGAUGAUCGUACAUCCGCACAAUCGAGCGCAAUCAGGGGUUAUCUGUGAAACAAAAAUUAAGUGAAGCACAUGGGACGAUGGCGGUUCAUGCUCAGUUCGCCAUAUUUUCGCUUUCCUCGAGGGAUUGAGUUUUUUUAUAUAGAAUAAUUAUUGUUAAUGAUCGAGAUAGCAGAUGCCAGUUCAUCGCGAUCUCAGCUGAUAUUCUCCGCUUCUAAGCAGAGAUCAUUUGGGGAUUUAAUUAAUAAUGGAUCAUCGAUUGAUCGUCUAUGGUACGUCACGUACGCGACAAUCGACGUAUUAAAAAA